GACGAACGCUGGCGGCGUGCUUAACACAUGCAAGUCGAACGGUAAGGCCCUUCGGGGUACACGAGUGGCGAACGGGUGAGUAACACGUGGGUGAUCUGCCCUGCACUUCGGGAUAAGCCUGGGAAAAUGGGUCUAAUACCGGAUAGGACCACUGCCUGUAUGGGGUGGGGUGGAAAGCUUUUGCGGUGUGGGAUGUGCCCGCGGCCUAUCAGCUUGUUGGUGGGGUGAUGGCCUACCAAGGCGACGACGGGUAGCCGGCCUGAGAGGGUGACCGGCCACACUGGGACUGAGAUACGGCCCAGACUCCUACGGGAGGCAGCAGUGGGGAAUAUUGCACAAUGGGCGCAAGCCUGAUGCAGCGACGCCGCGUGAGGGAUGACGGCCUUCGGGUUGUAAACCUCUUUCAGCACCGACGAAGCGCAAGUGACGGUAGGUGCAGAAGAAGGACCGGCCAACUACGUGCCAGCCGCCGCCGUAA
rnacentral:rRNA from 1 species